GGCACCUCCUCCUUAGCUUUCUGCUCCCAAGAGUCAGGGGAGCGAUGAAAAAUACGCUCUCAUAUAGUCACACGGGAGUUCCGUGUACUGCCACCUGGCUUUGGGCCAAAGCCUACUUCGCCAAAUGCGCAGAGUGUCAUCUCCAUUUAGGAGAGAUACAAAAUCACAAGGGCGCGUACACGGAAACAGUACAGAAUAGCAACAAGAAAAAAGUGGAAAUUUAUUUAUUUCGUUUUAUUACUUAUAUAUGCCAUUCAGUGUAACAAAAUAUCUAAGCGGUUCACACAAAUGACAAUACUAAAAUCACAACGUGUGAGCACGUGAUGUCAAAAUGCAAUAAAAAGUUAACAUUAAAACGAAAAACUGAGGUUACUCUUUGAAAAUAUGGGAAUGCUGAAAUGCUUCCGGUCCUCAACAUCAGGUGAGCGGAGCGUUAAUGCAAGAAAUAAAGGCCACCCUAUCAAAGUCUUGUGGCAUCUUGAAAACUGACAGAUUUACAGCUCAAGCCUAUACAUGUCUACUUAGAAGUAAGUCCUAUUUUCAAUGGGGCUUACUCCCAAGUAAGUGUGUAUAGGAUUACAAUUUUACUAAACCAUACACUUCCGUGGACUUAAGAGCUGUCUUUGACCUCUGCAUUAUGGCUACUGUUCUGCAUGUGGCGAUGUUCAAAUAGAGACUAGAGGUAAUUUCCGGGUUCGUGUUGGAGAAGCCAUUUUUAAAUGUCUCCCGGAGCGGUAGUGAGAUCUGUUAAUGCGGAAAUCCAAGAUUUGAACGUAGAUAUGAUUGAGCAUCUGUCGAAAAUAAGCCACCCAGAAGCCCCCGGAAGCCCACAAAGGAGGGAGUGAAGGUCAAGACAUGAGUAGAUGAUGAUACAAUUUUUUUUGUGCUCCACUGCUAUGUCUCAUAGUAAAGAGUCAGCCUACUGCAGUCUGCAACGAUCAUACUGCAGUAUUUGGGCUGUAGCUGUUAGACAACUUGAAAGGGAAGUGCUGCAUUGUAUAGAAAAACACAGUCUGUACACUGAAUGCGUGUGUGUGUGUGUUUAAGGAGCCUAUUGAUUUAAAAUACAGGGUUCUUUUUUAGCCUUUUGAGAACAGCUGUAUUUCCCAGGUCAUAUGUCAUUAAAAUAUUGAGAAACUGGGACGGUUUUACAAUAGCAUUUAAAGAAUAUUCUGGAUGAUAUUAUACUUUACAAUGGAAGCAGGGGAAAAUAUCACCAUGGAAACCAGAAUUCUAGCAGAUGCUGCAAAUUCUGCAGUCUUUUCCCCCCGUGGUGUGUUACUUUAAAUACGUCAUCAUCAGAAAUGGGUACUUGUAACAGGCACUAGUGUGUAUGGCAGGGGUCCAAUUGUUAUUGUUAGUCCCCAAGUUCCAUCUGCCCCUGCCAGCAUAGCCAAUGGCCAGGGAUAAUAGGAUUUGUAGUUCAAAACCAUCUGGAGGCCUGCAGGUUCCCCAUCCUUGGCAUAUGGCAAGAAAUCCUGAGCACUGACAAAUAGUGUAGCAGCUAUGUGUAUCCUAGGAAGCCGUCGGCUCAUAUCUCACCUAUGCCAUAAAUCAGCCUUCUCCAACCUGGUGUCCUCCAGAUGUUUUAGAGACUAUAACUCCCAUUAGUCCCAACCAACAUGACCAUGCUGGCAGAUGAUGAUGGGAGUUGUAGUCCAAAACAUCUGGAAGACAUCAGAUCAAGGAAGGAUGUCAUGAACUCAUUAGAUGGCUUUAAUUCCUAACCUGCAGUGUGGGGAUAUUUACCUGCCUUGCAAGGCUGUUGUAAUAAUUAUUGAGAUAAUGUAUAUGAAGCACUUAGGACAGAUAAUGGUAUAUAAAUAAUAAGCAUCAUUAUCAUAAUCUCCUUACAUCUGAGCGUUGCAGCUUGAAUUUACUUUUUCACCUUUCAAAAGUAUGUCCAAUUGCUUGCAGUGGAACUAUUUCAAAGAGGAGUGUUAUGCAGACUGUGGUGUGUCUAUCUUUAUAGCUGUAAACCCUUCCGUUUUUUAAAACAUGUAUGUUCCAUUGAAAUAAAUGCGAUUCUGCAUUUAAUUGCUAACAAGAGAACU